UGGGGAAUAUUGCACAAUGGGCGCAAGCCUGAUGCAGCAACGCCGCGUGAACGAUGAAGGCUUUCGGUUCGUAAAGUUCUUUUGCAGGGGAAGAUAAUGACGGUACCCUGUGAGGAAGCCCCGGCUAACUACGUGCCAGCAGCCGCGGUAAUACGUAGGGGGCUAGCGUUAUCCGGAUUUACUGGGCGUAAAGGGUGCGUAGGUGGUCUUUCAAGUCGGUGGUUAAAGGCUACGGCUCAACCGUAGUUAGGCACCGAAACUGGAAGACCUGGGGGAAGGGGAGGAAAGUGGAAGUCCCGGGGUAGCGGUGAAAUGCGUAGAUAAUGGGGAGAACAACAGUAGCGGAGGCGGCUUUCUGGACUGCAACUGAAACUGAAGCACGAAAGAGUGGGUAGCAAACAGG
rnacentral:rRNA from 1 species